AAAUUGAAAUUUCUAGAAAUAAUAAUAAUAUCCGUCACGCUUCCCCCACCGCAAAAAGCGUCCAUUCUCCAUUUUCCAUUCUCCAUUCUGCAUUCUCCAUUCUCCUCCAUUCUUCAUUCUCCAACUCGCUUUCUCAUUCUCUUCACUCUUCACUCUUCACUCUUCACUUACACUCCCCCGCCAAAUCGCCACAUAAAACGACGCGCGCUCCCUCCAAAACACUCCCCCGUCAGUCAAACGCAGCAUCCAGCUCCGUCGUUCGCCCCCUCCUCUUUCCGUCUCCACAAAACGAUGUCAUCGUAAGUCCGAAGAAGAAGAAAAACAAGAAGGAAGAAUCACCGCUAUGGCGGCAGCGAGAAGCGUGUCGUUGAGGCAAAUAUUCGCGGAGAGGAGCAAGGAGAGGCUCCUCUCGCGGAAGGACUUUUCUGACCUGAGGCUAAACGGCACCACCGCCACCUCCGCCUCUGUCGCUACUCCCCACGCCCUCUCCGAUCGUGUGGCGCAGUUCGGCGAGGGCGUGGGGAGGUUCUUCCGCGAGCUGCGGGAGAUGGCGCGGUCGGAUCCGCGGAAGGUGGUGUUUGCGGCGAAGGCGGGGCUGUCGCUGGCGCUGGUGUCGCUGUUCAUUUACAUCAAGGAGGAGCAGCUCAGCAAGUACUCCAUCUGGGCCAUUCUCACCGUCGUUGUCGUCUUCGAAUUCAGCGUAGGUGCAACUUUGAACAAAGGGUUCAAUCGUUCUUUGGGCACAAUUUCCGCUGGAGGGCUUGCGCUGGGAAUUGCUGAGUUGGCCGUUUUGUCUGGAAAGUUCGAGGAACUUAUCAUUGUACUAUGCAUAUUUAUCGCAGGAUUUUGUGCAAGCUAUGUGAAGCUACUGCCUGCAAUGAAGACAUAUGAAUAUGGUUUUCGUGUGUUUUUGUUGACAUUUUGUAUUGUAUUGGUAUCUGGAAGAACUAGCAGGGAAUUUUUCUCCACAGCCUUUUAUAGAUUAAUUCUUAUUGCAAUUGGUGCUGGCAUAUGUUUGUUUGUAAAUAUUUUCAUAUACCCCAUCUGGUCUGGGGAGGAUCUGCAUAAAUUGGUGGUGAAAAAUUUCAAUGGAGUUGCUGCAUCUUUAGAAGGCUGUGUUAAUGGUUACCUGCAAUGUGUUGCAUAUGAGAGGGUCCCUUCAAAAAUUCUUGUUUAUCAAGCCUCAGAUGAUCCACUUUACCGUGGCUAUAGAGCAGCAGUUCAAUCAUCAAGUCAAGAAGAGUCUUUGGUAGAUUUUGCAUUAUGGGAGCCACCUCAUGGUCCAUACAAGACAUUCAAUUAUCCUUGGAGAAGCUAUGUUAAAGUCAGCGGAGCUUUGAGGCAUUGUGCUUUCAUGGUCAUGGCAAUGCAUGGAUGCAUUCUUUCGGAAAUACAGGCACCCCCAGAAAAGAGGCUGGUUUUCAGUAAUGAACUUCAGAAGGUUGGUACUGAAGGAGCUAAAGUAUUGCGUCAACUUGGAAGCAAAGUGGAAAAGAUGGAAAAGCUAAGCAACAUAGACAUACUCUUGAAAGUGCAUGAAGCAGCUGAGCAAUUGUCGAUGAAGAUUGACCAACAAUCAUUCCUCCUAGUAAAUUCAGAGAGCUGGCAGGCUGCAAAAAAGCCUAAAGAAGUUGAAAAUCAUGACAAUUUGUUUAUUGAUCUCAAAGACCAUCAUGAACACAAACACUCCCUGAUCUCUUCCCUCAGUGAAACAGGAGUUGAUUCAAGACUUAACAUAAACAUAGAGCCUUCAGUUCCUGAAUUGCACAUUUCUCAAAGCUUGUUGUCCAAUAAAAUAUCAUGGCCACGUCUCUCAUUUUAUGGAGAUAACAUGUUACUUGAGCAAGAUUCCAAAGUAUAUGAAAGUGCAAGCUCUCUGUCUUUGGCAACAUUUGCUUCCCUUUUGAUAGAGUUUGUUGCAAGGCUUCAAAAUCUUGUGGAUGAAUUCCAAGAUCUCAGUGAGAAGGCCAAUUUCAAAGACCCCUUUGACCAAACAGUGUUGAAGUAGGUGACAAUGACAAUGUGGACGACACUUCACUGGCGACUAUAUUUCAAAAUUGGAGGACGCAGGAGCAUUUCUUGAACGAAGAUUUGCUGGCUUAAUUGGAGUGAAAAUUCAGUGCAGUGAAGAGUCCUACAAUGUAGAUGUGGAAACUUAUGUGUUUAUUUUUUAGGUACAUGCUUGUUAAGUUUAGUGAAUAUUUUUCCAUUAAGUUGCAUCAAGGUGUAUUUGUAUCAGCCUGUCAACUAUUUUAAGCCCAUUUUGUAGAUUGAACUUCACGAUUCUCCUGGUGAAAAAGUUUAUGCUACUGGAGGCCAAAUUCAUGUACCAAAACCAGUUUUCUAUUUCAGCAAGGUUUGAUU